GUCCCUUCGCUGCGCGAGGAGCUGGGAGCCGCGCCUGCCGCCAUGUUCCGCCGGGCCGCCGCCGCCCGGGGCCUCUAGCCGCCCGCGCCCCGCCCGCCGCCCCGCGCCCCUCUCCCGCCAGCCCGCGGGCGGAGGAGGCGGACGAAGGCGCCGCCGCGCCCAAAAGCCGCCGCCGGAGCCCGGCAGCGCUCAGCGAUGUCCGCCAAGGAGGGGAGCAAGGUGCUGCUGCUGCCGCCCCACGCCACCAGCGAGCGCGCCGUCAAGGCUGUCCCUUUUCCACCAACGCAUCGUUUGACAUCUGAAGAAGUGUUUGACACAGAUGGAAAACCCAGGGUUGACAUUUUGAAGAACCACUUGAUUAAGGAAGGUCGAGUGGAUGAAGAAAUUGCACUUAGAAUCAUCAAUGAGGGUGCUGCAAUAUUACGGAGGGAAAAAACUAUGAUAGAAGUUGAAGCUCCAAUUACAGUGUGUGGUGAUAUACAUGGCCAGUUCUUUGAUCUAAUGAAGCUGUUUGAAGUGGGAGGAUCACCUGCUAACACAAGAUACCUCUUCCUCGGUGACUAUGUAGACAGAGGUUAUUUUAGUAUAGAGUGUGUGCUGUAUUUAUGGGUCCUGAAAAUUCUCUAUCCAAGCACGUUAUUUCUUUUGAGAGGCAACCAUGAAUGCAGACACCUAACAGAGUAUUUUACGUUUAAACAAGAAUGUAAAAUAAAAUACUCUGAAAGAGUCUAUGAUGCUUGUAUGGAAGCUUUUGAUUGCCUCCCUCUUGCUGCUCUCCUAAAUCAACAGUUUCUUUGUGUUCAUGGUGGACUUUCACCAGAAAUUAAUACACUAGAUGACAUUAGGAGAUUAGAUAGAUUCAAAGAACCUCCAGCAUUUGGACCAAUGUGUGACUUACUGUGGUCAGAUCCUUCAGAAGAUUUUGGAAAUGAAAGUUCACCAGAGCACUUCAGUCACAAUACAGUCAGAGGAUGCUCAUACUUUUAUAGCUAUCCAGCAGUUUGUGAAUUUUUGCAAAAUAAUAAUUUGUUGUCAAUCAUUAGAGCACAUGAAGCACAAGAUGCAGGUUAUAGAAUGUACAGGAAAAGUCAAACUACAGGGUUUCCAUCAUUAAUAACAAUUUUUUCAGCACCUAAUUACCUGGAUGUCUACAAUAAUAAAGCUGCUGUUUUAAAAUAUGAAAACAAUGUGAUGAAUAUUCGUCAAUUCAAUUGUUCUCCUCAUCCUUACUGGCUACCAAAUUUUAUGGAUGUUUUUACAUGGUCCUUGCCAUUUGUUGGAGAAAAAGUAACAGAAAUGUUGGUGAAUGUUUUGAGCAUUUGUUCUGAUGAUGAACUGAUGACAGAGGGAGAAGAUCAAUUUGACGAGCGACUCAUGUAUGGCAAUAAAAAAGUAGGUACAGCUGCCGCACGGAAAGAAAUAAUCAGGAACAAAAUUCGUGCAAUUGGCAAGAUGGCAAGAGUCUUCUCUGUUCUCAGGGAGGAGAGUGAAAGUGUGCUGACACUCAAGGGUUUGACUCCCACUGGAAUGUUACCUAGUGGAGUGUUGGCUGGAGGACGACAGACCCUGCAAAGUGGAAAAGAUUGAAAACAGAGACUUCACAGGUAACAGGAAAUGGUGGAAAGAGGUGUUUUUUUCUCACAUAGCUUUGUACCUAUAUGGCAAAUUGGUUAUAUCUUGUAUUCAGUGACAUUCUAAAGCAAUUCUUAAACUAAUUUGCAGCUAAUUUUACAAAUUGAGAAAGUUUAUUUUCCCUAAUAUAAACAUAAAUUGUCAUCCAUUCAAGUGGAUUUUUGAUAUAACUGGGAUUGCCCCUGCCCCUUUAAAGUUGUGUAGGAUUAUUAUUAUUAUUGUAACUCAGAAUGUGCAGUAUGUAAAAGUUAAAAUGCUGCAUUAUUCUUAUGUAUUCCACAGUAUUUUAAUAGGAAUUCAAGCAACUAUUUUUUUUAAGAGCAUCUCAGUGGAAAUGAAGGUUUUAUGUAACAUUAAGGCAGAGUGUAGGCAGUUGAUACAUCUGCUGUGUCUGGUUUAUGUUGGCCAGGAAAUGAGAAGUACUAAACUUAAUUCACUUGGACGAAUUCUGUUCUAACGCCAUCUUUUCCUAAACUGCUAGGUUUCCUAGCAUUCACUUUAAUAUAGGUUUACUGCUAGGUACUGUUUUCAGUUAGAAUUUAUUAAAUUAGGCAAUUAGAGGCAUGGCAGAUAGAAGGGGAGGCAGUAAGUUGUUAGCAACACUGAAACUUAGCUACAAUUUAGAUCUUGGUUACAAGCAUUUUGCUUGACUGGUCUGCCCAAGUAGGUUAAUUUGAUUUUGAUAUCCUCAGAACCUUACGUUAUAGCUUUGACUUUUAGAUCUAAAACAAUAAACAACAGAAAAAUCUCACACCUCAGAAUUUACCACAUUAGUCAUGGUUACUUACUGCAGUAAAACCAGUAAGCUAGAUUUUUUUCUUCAUGUUCACAUGAAGUCAUCCACCAAGACUAUGUUACAACCAGACCUCUUCAUGCUCUAGGCUUUGUUGUUGGUUCAACUAAGCAAUUUAUGAGACUUUGUAAAUAUGACUUGCUAGAUUUGUCUUUUAUAGUUUAAAUUUCACAGUUCAGUUCCCAGGGAUACUCAUUUAAGCGUAAAAUAUGGUGAGAAAUUGAAGUACAAGUUUAACUUCAGGGAGUUAACCGUAAAAAGGGAAAGUAUUUUCUUAUUAGCAGAACACUGAUAGUGUUACAUUAGAGCAUCCUGCUUGGUAAUUUAGUGAAGCUCACUAAUACGUUUUAAUCUUCAGAAAGUUAAUCUCAAAUAGAUUUUCUUUUUAACCAUACCACAACUUUAACAUUAGUUGACAUCUUAUAUUGCUUUCUUUAAAGAAAAAAAAAACCAAUAUCAUAGAAAUGUACAGUUUAAAACGUAAAUGAAGUUCCAGUAAUCAGUGUUUCUCUUGGUAUACUUUGACUUGAUAAACUGUAAUAGUUAAAAUGCAGGAGAAGUUUCACUUAAGCUUAAAAACAACCCCCAGAGCCUUAAUUAUAAUUUGAAAUAAUUUUAAUCUAAUCUGGCGUAGCGUUCUAUAUUAAAUUGAUCAUUGCCUUUUCUGCUGUGCGAUAUUACACUCUUCAUCUUUCUCAUUCAUUUUGCAUGCAUCUGCUCACUUCUGUACAGCCACUGUAGAGGCAAUUGAGGCUGAAAAAGCAAUACGAGGAUUCUCUCCGCAACAUAAAAUCUGCAGUUUUGAAGAAGCAAAAGGUUUGGAUAGGAUCAAUGAGAGAAUGCCACCAAGAAAAGAUGCUCUUCAGCAAGAUGGUAUUAAUACUAUAAACACAACAAA